rnacentral:sRNA from 1 species
UGCCGUCGGGAUCGCCCCCCGCCAGCGAGUUUCGCCCGCGGGGGCGCUUGCC